rnacentral:rRNA from 1 species
UACGAAGGGGGCUAGCGUUGUUCGGAAUUACUGGGCGUAAAGCGCGCGCAGGUGGUCUUUCAAGUCAGUGGUGAAAGCCCGGAGCUCAACUCCGGAAAUGCCAUUGAAACUGUGAGACUUGAGGACGAGAGAGGUGAGUGGAAUUCCCAGUGUAGAGGUGAAAUGCGUAGAUAUUGGGAAGAACACCGGAGGCGAAGGCGGAUUGCUGGGCCGACACUGACGCUGAGGCGCGAAAGCCAGGGGAGCGAACGGG